rnacentral:rRNA from 1 species
CGAACGCUGGCGGCGUGCCUAAUACAUGCAAGUAGAACGCUGAAGGAGGAGCUUGCUUCUCUGGAUGAGUUGCGAACGGGUGAGUAACGCGUAGGUAACCUGCCUGGUAGCGGGGGAUAACUAUUGGAAACGAUAGCUAAUACCGCAUAAGAGUAGAUGUUGCAUGACAUUUGCUUAAAAGGUGCAAUUGCAUCACUACCAGAUGGACCUGCGUUGUAUUAGCUAGUUGGUGAGGUAACGGCUCACCAAGGCGACGAUACAUAGCCGACCUGAGAGGGUGAUCGGCCACACUGGGACUGAGACACGGCCCAGACUCCUACGGGAGGCAGCAGUAGGGAAUCUUCGGCAAUGGACGGAAGUCUGACCGGGCAACGCCGCGUGAGUGAAGAAGGUUUUCGGAUCGUAAAGCUCUGUUGUAAGAGAAGAACGAGUGUGAGAGUGGAAAGUUCACACUGUGACGGUAUCUUACCAGAAAGGGACGGCUAACUACGUG